rnacentral:snoRNA from 1 species
GUGCAUCUAUUUGACAGAGCUGGAGUAGUUACUGUCUGCUGCUAAGUUUCCUACUACAGAUGCAAGAAAAAAGUGUUCGUGCACUUUCUAACUGUGGCAGCCAAGAUUGAACAUAGGGGAAAAACAU